rnacentral:rRNA from 1 species
AACGUAGGAGGCGAGCGUUAUCCGGAUUUACUGGGCGUAAAGCGCGCGUAGGCGGUUGGGUAAGUCUGACGUGAAAGCCCCUGGCUCAACUGGGGGAGGCCGUUGGAUACUGCCCGGCUUGAGGGUGAUAGAGGAGAGUGGAAUUCCCGGUGUAGCGGUGGAAUGCGUAGAGAUCGGGAGGAACACCAGUGGCGAAAGCGGCUCUCUGGCUCACCCCUGACGCUGAUUGCGCGAAAGCGUGGGUAGCAAACGGG